rnacentral:rRNA from 1 species
GUCGAACGGUCUGAGGGCUUCGGCCCUCAGAGAGUGGCGAACGGGUGAGUAACACGUGGGUGACCUGCCUGGAAGUGGGGAAUAACCCCUCGAAAGGGGGGCUAAUACCGCAUGUGGUCGGAGCUCCGUUGCUUCGACUAAAGUCGCAAGACGCUUCUGGAGGGGCCUGCGGCCGAUUAGCUAGUUGGUGGGGUAACGGCUCACCAAGGCCGUGAUCGGUAGCUGGUCUGAGAGGACGAUCAGCCACACUGGGACUGAGAUACGGCCCAGACUCCUACGGGAGGCAGCAGUGAGGAAUUUUGCGCAAUGGGCGAAAGCCUGACGCAGCAACGCCGCGUGGGGGAUGAAGGCCUUCGGGUUGUAAACCCCUUUUCUUCGGGAAGAUUAUGACGGUACCGGAGGAAUAAGUCACGGCAAACUACGUGCCAGCAGCCGCGGUAAUACGUAGGUGGCAAGCGUUGUCCGGAUUUACUGGGCGUGAAGAGCGCGUAGGCGGUUGGGUAAGUCUAUGGUGAAACCUUUCGGCUUAACCGAGAGACGUCUGUGGAUACUACCCAGCUUGAGUACCGUAGAAGAAGGUGGAAUUCCCGGUGUAGUGGUGAAAUGCGUAGAUAUCGGGAGGAACACCAGUGGCGAAAGCGGCCUUCUAGGCGGUAACUGACGCUGAGGCGCGAAAGCGUGGGGAGCGAACCGGAUUAGAUACCCGGGUAGUCCACGCCGUAAACGAUGGGCACUAGGUGUAGUGGGUAUCGACCCCCGCUGUGCCGGAGCUAACGCAUUAAGUGCCCCGCCUGGGGAGUACGGCCGCAAGGCUAAAACUCAAAGGAAUUGACGGGGG